ensembl:lncRNA
AUGAGCGAUGCUAUGGAUGACUCCGGUAUCAUCCGCCGGCGGAGGAUGCAGAAGGAUCUUCCCUUGCCCAGGAAGAGCAGUGGGGCUCAGUGGGAUGCCGCACAUCUGUAUCCAAACACAACAUAUGCUGGUGACCAGUCGUGUUGCUCUCUACAGCAGGAGCAACAGAUGAAGAAGCAUCAGACACGGCGCUCUAGAGGCAUAUGAAGAUGAGAAAUGUAACAGGUGUGCAGUAAGGAUGAUGAAGCGUCCCGCCGCGGAGCAGCUCUCUCAGCUUUAGUAAAUUGACUGCUCUUCUGUAGAGCAAGCAAGUGUUGUGUGUGUUGCGUUCAAUAAGUCAAUCUUCCUGCUGUGUGUCGUGAAACAGGUUUAGUGUAUUAGUUGUGUUGUAAUCUAAUGUUAGAUUAUUAGUCUUUAUAUGAGUGUGUCCUUUGAGAGUCUGAGCAGCUGUUAAAUGGGAGCCUGUCUGGGUCAAUCUCCAUGGCAACCAUUGAUGUAACCUCUGACCUUAUGAUGACAGAUUUCCGGACGGGAAAAUUAGCACUUUCUUUUGUUUGUUUGUGCCUUUUAAAGGUGUCUCAAAUCGCACAUAUUUUUGUGUUCAUUCUUCCAUCCUCUAUUCUUUUUCUUUUAGUAGAUGAUUUUUUCGGGUGACGUUUUUCUCUCUUAAUCCCCGAAUAUAUAAGCAGAGGAACAGACGUCACGGGGUCUUGGUCAGGUCUUCACUUCAGUGCACUCACAAUCCUUUAAAUCCGACACAAAGGAAUCACCAGCAUUUACAUUUACAUCAAAACCAAAGGAAAUUCAUAAAUUUUUUAUACAUGUAUAAAAAUAAUCUAAAUUUAUAUAUGUAUGUAUAUCUAUCGCCAGGGCCGUGAUGAUACACACCCAUAUCUCACGUCUACAAGUGUCAUAUUGCGCUUAUACAACAGUUCAACGUAUAUUUUAAUUAUAAUGACCCUGCUCAUGGCAUAUUUUAACAAAAAUCCUAUAUCUAAAAUAGUCAUUCAUGGGGUUAUAUAUAUAUAUGCUUAUUAUGAUUAGUCAUUGUUGGUUCUAAUACAACUUAAAAAAAAAUAUUUGAGAUUGCUUUCACUGUAAUUAUUUUAUUGAGUUUUCUUUUUUGUUGUAUUACUGUCUUGCCCCAAUUGUGAUUAAAUGAAAGCAUGUGAAAAUUAAAAAACAUAAUACUUCCAUCUCUUUGCCU